rnacentral:rRNA from 2 species
UCGUGCCAACGGCAUAGCUGGGUAGCUAUGUGUGGACGGGAUAAGUGCUGAAAGCAUCUAAGCAUGAAGCCCCCCUCAAGAUGAGAUUUCCCAACUUCGGUUAUAAGAUCCCUCAAAGAUGAUGAGGUUAAUAGGUUCGAGGUGGAAGCAUGGUGACAUGUGGAGCUGACGAAUACUAAUCGAUCGAAGACUUAAUCAA